UCAGACUUGGUGUAGUGGUAACACGGCCCUGCUUAUUCAUGGGGACUCAAAGAUUUGCGGGGUAGUGCCUGGGUUCGAUUCCCGGGGUCUGAA